AUAUGCACCAAGAUCAGAUUUGGACUGACAGUGUGAACAAGGUCUUACGCCGCAUUCACACGGGGCGUAAGCGUUGACGCUUCCCAUUCACUUUUAAUGGGUGACGUCAAGCGUUGGCGAACUGAAUUGUGGAUCCGUCGGCGCCGCGUCAGUGCCGUUGCUCAUGGCAGAAGUUGAACAUUUCUCAACUUUUCAAGCGGCAACGCGUGCGUCAGCCAAUCAUAUCGCCUUCUGCAAAUAACCUAGGCAGAGCCAGCCAAUUACGUUUAUGGAAGACCGGAGCUUGUGUUGCGGCCACAGUGAUUGGCUGUUGGACACGCUUCAGACAAGCCUUCCGUUAAGCGUUAACGCUGACGGACUGUGUGAAUGCGGCGUUAGUGUUGAUAGAGAGCCUGCAAAUAUCAUGGAACGUAAGUAAGACUAUUUAAGACCUGCAGAAACCCUUUAGGUUGUAAGCUAAAAUUUCAUAAUAAAUGUCCACAGACUUAUACUGGAAAAACAUUUAUGUUGUCAGUUUGCUGUAUCCAGAUCGACGUUGGAUUUUGAAUUCAGAUCAAUGUUGGAUUUUGAAGUCAGGCAAAGUUAGGUCUUGACGUCAGGCCAACGUUAGUCUUGACGUCAGAUCAAUGUUGGAUUUUGACAUCAGAUCAACGUUGGAUUUUUAAGACAGAUCAAAGUUGGAUUUUGACGAUACGCCAAAGUUCAGUCUUGAUGUCAGAUCAACGUUGAAUUUUGACAUCAGGCCAAGGUUGGAUUUAAAACGUCAAUACUUAAUGUUGGGCAGAUAUAAAGGUGAAUGAAGACCAAGGCCGUGAACAAACAUUUUGUGGGGCAGUGGUCAAACCAAAAAAGGGGCACAAAUGUAACGGGAGGAGAACACUGCCCGUCUGACAUCUUGUGAGGGUGGGUUAAUGUUUACCAGGUGUGCAUGUGUAUCUCCAAGCUUUUGUUCGCAGGUGUGUUCAAUGCUGCUGAUGAGCCAGGGUUGUAACGCGAUUGGAAGGUUCAUGGAAUAUAAGCACCAGCAUGCAUGCCUUUUGACAGAUUUUCCUGGACCCGGAGGGGAACUGCAACGAGAUAAGCUUGACCGCUGUUGUGCCGAUUGAUUGGGUAUUCGACUCCAUGCAGUGACGAUGAUCGACUCUGGGCAGCGAGAGGUCCAGGAGAGAAAAACAACGUGCGCUAUUCAUUCAUGUUGAGGGAAGUGUGAACUCUUCCCGGUUACGAGAGAGUGGGCACUGACGUGUAAUGAUUUGGGACUGAUUUCCCUUCCUCUGUUUCACAGAUCCGUUCUACAGUUCCGGUUUCUUUCGCUGGCCAUCGUUUCCGGGAGUUGCGUGUGUAUCGCUGUCAUCGCCUCAUCUGUAGCGCUUCCUUCUUCCCGCACUAUGGGCGCAAAGUGGGCCGGGUCGUGAGUAGGGUUGUAACGGUAUGAGAUUUCCACGCAACUCUUCGUCCACAUUUCUUGCAAACUGGAUAUCCAUCUUCAAGGACAACUCGGCAUUCGUUUUUCGUAUACCCAAAGUAUUCCCAUACUGUAGAUUUAAACUUUUUUUCUGGUGGGGGAUAGAGGAUAGAAUUUGUAGUCUCUGACAUUUCAUCUGCUGUACAUCAAUGAGUGGAGUCUAGCAGUCACGCCGAAUGAAGUUGCAUGUGCGUAGUAGCGCAGGUGAGAUCUGCUUUAUUUUUUCCAAAACCGUGCAGCAAAUGUUUACGGUAUGAUAACCGUAAAAGUUAAUAUCAAGGUGCGGUAUACCGUUACUAGUCGUGAGUGACGAAACUGUUGACUGUGUUUGACGAAACCCUGCUUUAUGCAUAAUAUGAUUGUGAUGUGUUACUUAUGUAAAUUCCUCUUGGUUUAGUGGGAUAUUGGCUGCUCGCCUGGGUUUGAUGUAUACUUGUGAAUGGGUUUUAGGGCUUCUGAUCAGACCAAUUUGGUUAUAUUAUUAUUUCUAAAUGUGUGGGGUUCAUUUUGUAGUAUUUACACUGAUUUUAAAUUUGAUAUUUGCCUUUGCUGUGUAAAUCUCACGUGUGACUGUGUGCUGUAUUAUAUGACUUUAUUGGCAUGAUUUGUGGUGUUAGCCCUUUUCAUUCACGGUCUAACCAGGGGGCGCCAGAUUGUGAUAUUAUUCCCUUGCCCUUGAAUUUAAAUAAUCAUAUCUAAUCUUUUUCCUUCGUUUUAAUUGUGUAUAUUACUGUUAGUUUUUUUUAAUUGUUGUAUCAAUAAAUUUUGUAAUUUUA